GAAAAACGCAAGUGACGUGCCUAACACAUGCAAAUUUAAUAGUUAUUUUUUAACUAUAGUGAAUUGGUGAGUAAUAUAUGAAAAUUUAAUUUUAGAUUAGAAAUAUUCCUAAUAACUUAGGGUUAAUUUCUGAUAAGCGCAUUUGUGCUUUAAAAAGUUAAUACUGUCUAAAAAAAAGUUCAUAUCUGAUUAGCUAGUUAGUAAGGUAAUAGCUUACUAAGGCGAAGAUCAGUAGCUGCCCUGAGAGGGGGAUCAGCCACAUUGGGAUUGAAAUACAGCCCAAACUCCUACGGGAGGCAGCAGUGGGGAAUAUUGCACAAUGGGCGCAAGCCUGAUGCAGCGACGCCGCGUGGGGGAUGAAGGCCUUCGGGUUGUAAACUCCUUUCGCCAUUGACGAAGCCCUUUGGGGUGACGGUAGGUGGAGAAGAAGCACCGGCUAACUACGUGCCAGCCGCCGCAGUAAAAC
rnacentral:rRNA from 1 species